AACCUAGCACACCUGCGGUGUGUACCUGCGGAGGGAUCAUUACCGAGUUUACAAACUCCCAACCCUCUGUGAACCUUACCAUAUUGUUGCUUCGGCGGGACCGCCCCGGCGCCUUCGGGCCCGGAACCAGGCGCCCGCCGGAGGCCCCAAACUCUUAUGUCUUUAGUGGUUUUCUCCUCUGAGUGACACAUAAACAAAUAAAUAAAAACUUUCAACAACGGAUCUCAGAUCGGAAGAGCA
rnacentral:misc_RNA from 1 species